GUACCCAAAAUACGGAAAGUUGUGCUUCAUACACGGUUGCCUCSUGGUGGAUGCCUUCGGGUGUGCUACUGCGGCCAAAUGGCGCUUGCGGCGUUGCCUCGUGGUGCKGACAUAGAUUCGUGCCUGGUGCUCUCAAGGAAGCCUUGCUCCCGCUGUUGGUUUCGGAUGUUGCUCACGAUGUAGGCUCGUGGCCAUUUUGAUUGCCCCGAUCUGCCCUAACAUGCUCUCCGAAUUUGAGAACAACCGGAACAGGUGUUGCCUCUACCUCUCCAUGGUUUGUGGUAGGAUACGCAACAUUUUGGGACGAUCCUCAAACUAGGACGAGCUUGGCCUGCUCAAUUGUGACAACCGGCCCGUCUGUUGCCUCUGCCUUGCCACGCAAGUGGACGGGCGGACAACAGCCGAUGCUGGACGUCAAAGAGGGCGUGCUACCUGGUUGAUCCUGCCAGUAGUC
rnacentral:misc_RNA from 1 species